AGAGUUUGAUCCUGGCUCAGGAUAAACGCUGGCGGCGUGCAUGAGACAUGCAAGUCGAACGAACGAGCUUGCUCGUUAGUGGCGAACGGCUGAGUAACGCGUAGGUGACCUGCCCCGAAGUGGGGGAUAACUGCCCGAAAGGGUGGCUAAUACCGCAUGUGGCGACGUGUUCAAUCACGUCAUCAAAGCCGCGAGGCGCUUCGGGAGGGGCCUGCGUCCGAUUAGCUCGUUGGUGGGGUAACGGCUCACCAAGGCGACGAUCGGUAGGUGGUCUGAGAGGACGAUCACCCAGACUGGGACUGAGACACGGCCCAGACUCCUACGGGAGGCAGCAGUCGGGAAUUUUGCUCAAUGGGGGAAACCCUGAAGCAGCAACGCCGCGUGCGGGAUGAAGGCCUUCGGGUUGUAAACCGCUUUUUUCAGGGACGAUGAUGACGGUACCUGAAGAAUAAGUCACGGCUAACUACGUGCCAGCAGCCGCGGUAACACGUAGGUGACCAGCGUUGUCCGGAUUUACUGGGCGUAAAGAGCGCGCAGGCGGUCGUUCAAGUCGAGUGUGAAAGCCCCCGGCUCAACUGGGGAGGGUCAUUCGAUACUGAUCGACUUGAAGGCAGGAGAGGGAAGUGGAAUUCCCGGUGUAGUGGUGAAAUGCGUAGAUAUCGGGAGGAACCCAGUGGCGAAGGCGACUUCCUGGCCUGUUCUUGACGCUGAGGCGCGAAAGCUAGGGGAGCAAACGGGAUUAGAUACCCUAGUAGUCC
rnacentral:rRNA from 1 species